rnacentral:ncRNA from 1 species
CUCUUAAAAAAAGUGACAAAUGUGUGCUGAAAUUUUACUUUGAAUAAAAUAGAGUGCACAAGUAAUGUGCCUGAAUAAUAUUGCAUGGAAAAAUGGAGAAGGACCUCGGUUCUAUUUUUUUGGUUUUCGGAUCUGAAGUAAUCAUUAAAAGGAACAGUCGGGGACAUUCGCAUUGCUGCGUUAGAGGUGAAAUUCUUGGAUCGCAGUAAGACGAACAACUGCGAAGGCAUUUGUAAAGGAUGUUUUCAUUAAUCAAGAGCGAAAGUUAGAAGUUCGAAGGCAAUCAGAUACCACCCUAGUCCUAACUGUAAACAGUGCCAACUGGUGAUUCGUCUAUGUUAUACUACGAUUGGACAAGAAACUUCCGGGAAACCAAAGUUAUUAGGUGCUUGGGGAAGCAUGGCUGCAAAGCUGAAACUUAAAUCUUCAUCUUCCAUCGCCGUUUCUCCUUUCGGGUCGCGGAGGCAGACGCGUCAGAUAGUGCUUCCGAUCCUGU